AAGCUUCCAAGAAAAGCCCUAUACCCGUUAAGGCAUGACGGCCUGUACCCGAAACCGACACAGGUGGGGUGGUAGAGAAUACCGAGGGGCGCGAGAUAACUCUCUCUAAGGAACUCGGCAAAAUGGCCCCGUAACUUCGGGAGAAGGGGUGCCACCGCAAGGUGGUCGCAGUGAAGAGGCCCAGGCUACUGUUUACCAAAAACACAGGUCUCCGCUAAGUCGCAAGACGAUGUAUGGGGGCUGACGCCUGCCCAGUGCCGGAAGGUUAAGGAAGCUGGUCAGCGCAAGCGAAGCUAGCGACUGAAGCCCCGGUGAACGGCGGCCGUAACUAUAACGGUCCUAAGGUAGCGAAAUUCCUUGUCGGGUAAGUUCCGACCCGCACGAAAGGCGUAACGAUCUGGGCGCUGUCUCGGAGAGAGGCUCGGCGAAAUAGAAUUGUCUGUGAAGAUGCGGACUACGUGCACCCGGACAGAAAGACCCUAUGAAGCUUUACUGUAGCUUGGUAUUGUGCCCGGGCUCUGAAUGCGCAGGAUAGGUGGGAGGCUUUGAUCCAUUGCUUGUGGGUAAUGGUGAGCCACUGGUGAGAUACCACUCUUUCAGAGCUAGGGUUCUAACGGUCACCCGUUAUCCGGGGACCGGACAGUAUCAGGUGGGCAGUUUGACUGGGGCGGUCGCCUCCUAAAAGGUAACGGAGGCGCGCAAAGGUUCCCUCAGGCUGGUUGGAAAUCAGCCGACGAGUGUAAAGGCAGAAGGGAGCUUGACUGUGAGACCUACAAGUCGAACAGGGACGAAAGUCGGCCUUAGUGAUCCGACGGUUCUAGUGGAAGGGCCGUAGCUCAACGGAUAAAAGUUACUCUAGGAUAACAGGCUGAUCUCCCCCAAGAGUUCACAUCGACGGGGAGGUUUGGCACCUCGAUGUCGGCUCAUCGCAACCUGGGGCUGAAGUCGGUCCCAAGGGUUGGGCUGUUCGCCCAUUAAAGCGGUACGCGAGCUGGUUCAGAACGUCGUGAGACAGUUCGGUCCAUAUCCGGUGCACGCGCAGGAACAUUGAGAGGAUUUCUCCCUAGUACGAGAGGACCGGGAGGAACGCACCUCUGGUGUACCAGUUAUCGUGCCAACGGUAAACGCUGGGUAGCCAUGUGCGGAGCGGAUAACCGCUGAAAGCAUCUAAGUGGGAAGCCCACCUCAAGAUGAGUGUUCCCAUGGCAUAAGCCAGUAAGGUCACGGGAAGAACACCCGUUGAUAGGCUCUACGUGGAAGCGUGGCAACACGUGAAGCGGAGGAGUACUAAUAGACCGAGGGCUUGAC
rnacentral:rRNA from 1 species